rnacentral:tRNA from 1 species
CCUGGUGGCUCAGAGGUUAAAGCGUCUGCCUGGAAUGCAGGAGACCCAGGUUCGAUCCCUGUGUCAGG